rnacentral:rRNA from 1 species
CCUUAGAGUUUGAUCCUGGCUCAGAGCGAACGCUGGCGGCAGGCUUAACACAUGCAAGUCGAGCGGGCGUAGCAAUACGUCAGCGGCAGGCGGGUGAGUAACGCGUGGGAACGUACCUUUUGGUUCGGAACAACACAGGGAAACUUGUGCUAAUACCGGAUAAGCCCUUACGGGGAAAGAUUUAUCGCCGAAAGAUCGGCCCGCGUCUGAUUAGCUAGUUGGUGAGGUAAUGGCUCACCAAGGCGACGAUCAGUAGCUGGUCUGAGAGGAUGAUCAGCCACAUUGGGACUGAGACACGGCCCAAACUCCUACGGGAGGCAGCAGUGGGGAAUAUUGGACAAUGGGGGCAACCCUGAUCCAGCCAUGCCGCGUGAGUGAUGAAGGCCCUAGGGUUGUAAAGCUCUUUUGUGCGGGAAGAUAAUGACGGUACCGCAAGAAUAAGCCCCGGCUAACUUCGUGCCAGCAGCCGCGGUAAUACGAAGGGGGCUAGCGUUGCUCGGAAUCACUGGGCGUAAAGGGUGCGUAGGCGGGUUUUUAAGUCAGGGGUGAAAUCCUGGAGCUCAACUCCAGAACUGCCUUUGAUACUGAAGAUCUUGAGUCCGGGAGAGGUGAGUGGAACUGCGAGUGUAGAGGUGAAAUUCGUAGAUAUUCGCAAGAACACCAGUGGCGAAGGCGGCUCACUGGCCCGGUACUGACGCUGAGGCACGAAAGCGUGGGGAGCAAACAGGAUUAGAUACCCUGGUAGUCCACGCCGUAA